rnacentral:rRNA from 1 species
CACCGGGAAACUGGUGCUAAUACCGUAUAUCCCCUGAGGGGGAAAGAUUUAUCGCCAUGGGAGGAGCCCGCGUAGGAUUAGCUAGUUGGUGGGGUAAUGGCCUACCAAGGCGACGAUCCUUAGCUGGUCUGAGAGGAUGAUCAGCCACACUGGGACUGAGACACGGCCCAGACUCCUACGGGAGGCAGCAGUGGGGAAUAUUGGACAAUGGGGGAAACCCUGAUCCAGCCAUGCCGCGUGUGUGAUGAAGGCCUUCGGGUUGUAAAGCACUUUCGCACGUGAAGAUGAUGACGGUAACGUGAGAAGAAGCCCCGGCUAACUUCGUGCCAGCAGCCGCGGUAAUACGAAGGGGGCAAGCGUUGUUCGGAAU